rnacentral:rRNA from 1 species
GUGUCAGCAGCCGCGGUAAGACGUAGGUGGCGAGCGUUGUUCGGAAUCACUGGGCAUAAAGCGCACGUAGGCGGCCAAGUCAGUCGGGUGUGAAAGCCCUCGGCUCAACCGAGGAACUGCGCCCGAUACUGCUUGGCUUGAGGUCCGGAGGGGAGAGUGGAAUUCCCGGUGGAGCGGUGAAAUGCGUAGAGAUCGGGAAGAACGCCGGCGGCGAAAGCGACUCUCUGGUCGGAAUCUGACGCUGAGGUGCGAAAGCUAGGGGAGCAAACGGGAUUAGAUACCCCCGUAGUCC